CAAAUGCUGCAACUGUAAAGGAAAAAAGAGACCUUUCUAGAAGCAGUGGACAAGUUGUGGACUGCAGUCAGAUCUAUCACAGACCUCUGGACAACAGAAAUUCCACCAACAGCUAAACUGGCUCCUGGACACAUCACAGAGGUGCUUCUUUGCUAUCCUGCUGAAAAACCUCACCCUAGAAACCACAUGCUCAGUGGGCUCAGAUGCAGCAGAGGGAACAUGAACAAAGAGAGCUCCUUCACUGCAGUGCAGCUUGGAUCAGAUCCAAAAGACUCGCAGGCAGGAGGCAGACUGGAAAAAAAAAAAGAUGCAGACAAGUAAUUUUUAGAAUAGACCUUAUUAUUGAUUGUUGCUUUCACUGGUGUGACAUGCAGACACAAACCUGUGAUGGCAUCCUCAUAAAACGCCCUUUAGAAGUCUCCUCACAUCAACAGCGUAGACAAUUGCCACAUGUUCCUUGGGGUCAUUUAGAUCUACACAGAAAGACGUGCCCAAGCCUAUUUAUUGUGGCAGCACAGAUCAUAAAGCUGUGUCCUGUGUGUCCUGCAAAGUCAAAAUAUCCUUUAAACAAACAGGGUAAUAGAGGAGUAUUGCUGAUUCUUCUCUUUUUACUACAGAUCUGGGUAUCUGUUUGUUUUUCUUAAGAUUUCAUCUUCUGAAGUUGGUAGCUUAUUAAAAACUUUGUUUAUUUAAGGUAUAUUUAGCAUAAGGCUUAAAAACCAAACCUCGGAUGGUUGUCUUUUUUUGGUAAUCUCAUAAUAUUACACUCAAUCUUACAGUACUUUGGCUUGUGACUCACUGUUUUUGUAACCCUUGAGCUUGGCAGGACAAGGACAAGCAGUAACAUGCCACAGCCCUGUUUGUCUUGUGGCUGGAACUUCAGCAAAGAUCAGGCUUUAUUGCAGAGAUACAGGUUUGGGAAGAAAAUAUUUAUCUCCACAACUGUAAAUAGAUGAAUAUAAUUAUCUGGUGUCAUACACAGUGAGAGACGUCUGAGGUAGGUAAUACUGUAAGAAUAUACAUUGUGGGUUUUUUUCCCUGUGGCAAGUAGCCCUAUUUUUAUCUGAACAAAGGAACAGAACUGACCUGGCUGCACGUACUCACAUCGCCUGACCAGCCGGCUGUCCCAACUUAAAGCCUUGUACUAAAGAUAAACAGAUUGCUUCAUUUGACAUUGCUCACUUAGAAAUGAUAUGUGGUUGCUAAGACAUUAGUGUACAUAAAACGCAGACCCAGCUUGUGUUCUAGAAUGUUACAGAUUUGUUGGAAGCAUUUCUUUGACCUCCAGAUACUUCUCUUCUGAAAGUAGGUUGCUUUGUACCAGUGCCCAAUGACCUACUUUUGAAACCACUUGGAAAGAAAUACAUGUUCCCAACUGCAGGCCGCUGGCACCACCUGUGCAGUCAGGCCAGUCACAAGAUAAUUUCUGUUUUAUUGACCUUUGCAUUUAUUUAUAUACAGUUCACAGUCAAUUGCUUGAUGAUUCUUAUUCACCAAGAGCUACACAGUGGUGUGUACCUUAUAGACUUUGUAUUUAUGUUGUAUAACCACAACAUAAACAGAUCUCCUGUGUCUGUAGCAAAUUCAAGUAAUAAUAUACUUUCUAAAGAAA